rfam:Pan troglodytes isolate Yerkes chimp pedigree #C0471 (Clint) chromosome 3, whole genome shotgun sequence.
UUUUAGGUUGGUGCAAAAGUAAUUGCAGUUUUUGCCAUUAAAAGUAAUGGCAAAAAUCGCAAUUACUUUUGCACCAACCUAAUA